CUUGGAUCGGACUCCAAGCCUUGUUGUUGGUCCCAGAUGGAGUCACCGAUCUUUUUCCUUUGGGGUCGCAGCUACAAACUAGGAUUGGGGAGCAAAGCAGAGGUGCAGAGGUUGAAAUGAGACUUCAUUGGACUCUAAUAAGUGAUUAUAUAUAUAUUAUAUGUUGCAGUAUUUCGGGACCAUCUCUAAAAUACAGAUGUAAAAGAAGCUCGGCCGGUCAUGGCGGCCAUGGCCCCUACCAUUAAUUUAUUCCUGUGGCCCAAAAGCCAUGAAAUCUGCAGCAACUCUUGCUUUACAACGAAUCCCAAGCGGGGAAAAAGUGAGUACAAUUUUCACACGCGGAAUAUAAAUUAUUAAUCUUUCUCAUCUAAAGACUAAACAAGAAAGAUAGAAAAGAAUUCAACUUACAGAUAGUACCCUUGAAGCAAUUGCAAUACAUACAAAAAGACAGCCUUCAAUUCCAUCUUUAUCACAGUCCGGGUCGUACUGGUCUUUCCACCUUUGUCCUGAGAUUCCUGAUUUCCACCUUCGCAGAUAUCUAGCUCUAUAUAGUCCUUGAAGAUCAGAAGAAAUUUAAUUAAGAUUUUGGGGUCAAACUUCAAACUGCAGUGAUGGUGAUAGUGGGCGCCUGGGAUGGGGUCAAGGCCAAGAAAAGGAGAAGAAUCAUUAUCAUAACCGGAACGAAAAGAAGCAUCGACGGUGGAGGAGGCAGAGAUGGCAGCAGCAGCGGCAGCACCAGCAGUGAUACAGCUAAAGCCAUCAUAACUAUGAUCCAUGAUCUCAUACUAGUAACUAUAUAUAUAUAUAUAUAUAUAUAUAUAUAUAUUAAGCUAGCUAUCCGCCAGUCAAUGACACCAAAUUUCCAAUCAAACCCCGGCCAGCUGCUGAUUCAGAUGUCAGACUCCUGAGGAGGCGCUCUCAUCUUCCUCCAUAGCUGAUUCUUCGGAUUAGGAGAAGUCUGGUGAGUAAUUUAUACAAGGAAAUACAGCCAGUAAUUGAUUUUAUGGUGUUUUAAGAAUUGGAAAUUAAGUGUAUUUAUUAUUAUUCACUGCUGAUGACGUGGUAAGCGUUACUGCCCAUAGUCGUUACCACUCGGCAUGUCCCACUCAGUUUUUGUGUCCCAGUUCAACUAACUGAGAAAUUUGACACUGUACCCUUUACAUGUUGGCAUUUUCUUAGGUGUAAAAUAACAAGAAAAGUUCAGCAUUUACUGUGGAAGAAUUUAAAAACGAACUCCCUGUUUACGCAAUCAAUCCUUUUUUUUUUUAGUGAGGUCAAUAAAUUAAUAUAAUAAUAAUAGUGUCUGGUUUUUGGUCUUCACUAGUGUCUUCACUAAUUCUUUUGAGAAAAAAAGCCAAAUAUGUAAUCACUACUUUUGAUAAAUUAUAUAGUGUCUUCUAAAUUUUUUAUAUUAUACAUUAAUCCUCAAAUUCCUUUUUUAGUAGAUCAAUUUAAAAUAUUCCUUAAAUUAAUAGAUAUAGCCCAAGAGAAUUUUAAAUUUCGAAGAGAUCAAUUUUCAAUUUACGCUACCCAAUAGAUACUAUAUAAAGGAAUUUUAAAGUAUAGUUGGGUCACUCGACCACAUUAAGCACGCUAUAGCUGUGCCCUAUAUGUUUACCUGGAUAAAUUUCAGCACUUAUCAACUUUAUUUCAAGCCCUAACAGAUUUUAAAAUUUACAAUCCCAACAUUAAUAGAUCUUAAAAUUAUUUUUUAAAAUUAAUUAAUCGAAUCAUUCUUUAUAGGGUGUGUGUGUCACUCAAGCAAUUUGCUUAUAAUUGAUGCAUGGUCUUUGUAUUCAAAAAGGUAGGGUUCAAGUCCUCAAUUUUCCCAAAUCGAAUUAUAUUUACCAAGUAUUAUUAGAUAGCAGUUAAUUUAAGUUUUACUUAUAGUUACAAUCUUUUACCAUGAGUUAGCAUUUAUUGUCUUCAUUAGCUCUUUACUUCUUUAGUUUUAUUAACUAUAAAUAGGAUACUAUACUUCAUUUUUCUAGAUUGAGAGAAAUACAAAUUCGAGAAUAUAUAUAUAUAUAUUUUAUGUUAGUUUUAAAAUUAAUUCUUGGUUUUGAAAUGCCAAAAUUGAAUGACUAAAUAUAUUUUGAAACUAAGUUAAAGUGUUUCUGAACUUGAAGAACAGUUCUCAAAGAAGAUUGAAGUUGAUUGUACAAAUAAAAAUCUUUUAAACUCUUAAAAUCUCAAGUUCCAGCAUAAAGAAUCAACCUUUUGAUAGUGAAGUAUCAAUUUUAAGCCAAAUAGAAAGCAAAAUUUCCUUUCUAUAACAGAUAAAAUCAACACCUUAAGAAGAAAAGGUCGAUCCCAGAGUAGACAGACAGCUACUGGAAGAUCAAGAAUCGACACUAAAAGGAGCAAGUGUCAAUCCUAAAGAGUUUGAAAGCAGAUAGAAGCAUACUCUAAUCAAGAAGAUUAAUUCCUAUUAAAGCACAAAUUGAUCCUAGGAAGAACACAACCUAAAAAGACAAGUUUGGAGGACUUGAAUCAACACCUUAAAAUAUCUAGUGUCGAUCCAUGAAAGUCUGAAGGUUGGGAUCAACCCUUCAAGCAACAAGUGUUAAUCCUAGAAGAAACUCAGGCAAGAAAAAAGCCAUGUCAGAUGAGGAUAAGAAUGGAGCCUCUAAAAAUGAAUUUUAAAUUCAAAUUUGGUGUUUAGUGGAUAAGUAGAAUCAACACCUCAGAAUAUAAAGCUUGAUUAUCAGAAAAACAAAAAGGUGCUACCUUUGAGAUGAGACAAGUAAAAUCAACACUUCAAGUUACGAAGGUCGAUUCUCAAAAGAGAGAAAGGUGCUACCCUUGAGACGAGAUAAGGAGAAACGGCACCUCAAGCUACAAAAGUUGAUUCCACCAAGAUUCAGAUUGAAGUCAGUGUCGAUUCAUAGUUAUAAAGAAUCGAUCCCUGAAGUUUAGAUGACAAAAUCCAGCAAGCCCUACUGUUCAGAAUUUUGAUCCUGUCUUACCAAAGUAGCAAAAAUCACGUGGCAUUAUAAAUAUCCUUAUAGAGGACAUCAUUUGAAAAGAGAGAAGAAAAAAAGAGAAAGUAAGAGGAAAAGAAAGCAAGAAAAGAAAGAGAAGAAAAACCUUCCAAGAAAUUAGAAAAAGAUGAACAAGUUAGAAAAUCCCUUCCUUCACUUACUACUGCAAAUACUUUGAAAAGAGAAUGCUUUUUAUAGCUUCCAUACUCUGAUAAAUCAUUAUUCUCUUGUACUUAAGUUAGCUUAUCAGCCUUGUGAGGUAAAAAGCUUUGUAAUUUUUUAAAGAAUUCAUUAUAGUUGGUUAUACCUCUAGAGAAAAGGUAGAUUAACAAUUAUACCUCCAUAGAAAAGGUAGUUAAAGGUUAUACCUCCUACAAAAGGUAGUGUGUGAAAGGUUGUGCCUGAACUUGAUUUAAAAGGCAAUGGUUAGUAGAUUUAAAACUCCUUAAUUUUCAAGGGAGAAGAUGUAGGCUUGAAGGGUUGAACCUCUAUAAAAUUUAGCUAUCUUGUCAUUGUUUCUUCUUCCUUUUUACAAAUUUAUAUUAAGCUUCAUACUUUGUUUUCCAAAACUCUCCUUAGAUUCUUUUUAAACUUCAAAAGCUAAAUUUUUUUCAUAGGAUUUUUGCAAGAAAAUUUUCAACAACCUAUGCAACCCCCUCUUAGUUGCAGCUCACUUUAAGUUAUUUAUUUAACAUUUUGUUUUCCUCAACUUCUGUUAUGGAAUUAGAGUCACGUUAAGGAUUUAGGUGUGAUUCAUCUUCGAGAUUCACCUUCUCUUGAAGGUUAAUUCUCUUGCUUUAUUUUUAGAUUAAAUGUUUUGUCGCAUCUUGUUUCUUUCUUGUGUUCUUGAAAAUGUGAUUAGCAAGUUUGAUGACAAAUUCUUUGGAAACUCGAUCUACAAUCUCAUUGAAUGAAUAUCCUUAGUCACUGUACUAUAUUCAUCACAAUGACCAUCCUAGUUCAUUUAUGAUCAGUACUAAGUUGACUACUAGUAAUUACAUAGCUUUGAGUAGCUCAUUUUUACUAUCAUUGUCCACAAAAGACAAAUUAGGGUUUCUUGAUGGAACAAUUAAGAAGCCAGCACCAACAGAUCCAAUGUAUGGAUCUUGAAUUCGUUGCAACAAUUUAAUUGUGCCUUGGAUUCUUGAAUCAAUUUCGCCUCCAAUUGCUUCAACUGUUUUCUAUAUGGAGUCUGCAUCUGAAAUUUGGGAAACUUUAAAGCAAAAUUUCUCCCAACCAGAUGAUACAUGUGUGUGUAACGUUCACUGUAAUUUAGGCAAUGUUACAUAAGGAACUAGACUAGUAGAUUCGUAUUUCAUAGAGCUGAAAGGAAUAUGGGAGGAGCUUUGGAAUAAUAGGCCAUUAACACAUAGUGAAUGUGGAAAAUGUAACAGUAAUUACUUUAAGAAAUACUCAAAUCAAUACCAAAAGGAUAUGGAGUUGCAAAUUUUAAUUAGACUUGGUGAUUCAUUCUCUACACUAAGGUCGUAGGUUUUACUCAUGGAUUUGUUUCCUUCUCUUGAUAAAGCAUAUAGUUUGGUGUUGAGGCAAGAAACGUAGAGGAACUUAGGCUUUUCAAUCACAUCUUGUAAUGGAAUCUGCUACCAUGGCUGUAACUCUUAAUGCAAAGAAAAAAAAUAGGUAUGAUCUAGUUUGUACUCAAUAUGGAAAUAUGACAUGUGAAAGAAAAGUGCUACAAGCUCAUUGGAUUUCUUAAGGACUUUAAAUUCACCAAAGGAAAAGAGAGUUCAAAGAAGAAUAAUUCCUUUGUGAAUAGUGUUACUACUAUUGCCAAUACAUUAGCUAAUAGUUCAACACUUUCUGCUUAUAAUGAAGAGGGAAUUGGAGUUGGUUCUAUGUACCAAAUGUCACUCAUAAAGUAGCGAAUGCACAAGCUAAAGUCAGAAAUCACUGAGAAUGGAUUGAACACUGAUGGUGAUAAAAACAUUUCUUUAAACACUUAGUAGGUAGCAUUUUCUUGUAAACUCAACUUUAGUAGUUAUAAUUUCUGACCACUCUUCGUAAUCAUCUUGUGAAGGUUAAACAUGCACAUAACAUCAUGAUAAAACGACAUUCUUGCAUCAUAAACAAUGGUGCAACAUACCAUUUUGCAUGUUCUUUAAAAUUUUUCAAUUCUGUUAGACUAGUUACUAAUUGCUUUGUAAAGUUGCUAAAUAAUGCUAAGGUUGUUGUAACACAUAUAGUAACUAUCAAGUUAACCUCUUUUUUGACCCUUCAAAAUGUUCUAAGUUUGCCUACAUUUAAAUUCAACUUUGUCUAUGUCACUAAAUGCACUAAAACAAAAAUAAUUUCUUUGUUAUCUUUUUACUAAUUCUCGUUGUGUCAUUCAAGACCUUGCCUCAUGGAGAAGGACUGGGUUUUCUAAGGUCUUUAGUAAGCUUAUACUUCAUGCAAAAGAAUCAAGAUGAUCAAUAUCUUUCCAAGCUAAUUUUUAAUAAUCUUGUUCCAAAGUUUUUUGAUAUCUUUGUCAGUCCUUGUAAACUAGUGAAUUUUGGAAUUUCUAUUAAUGUUUGUGAACUAGUAAAUCCUUUUUUGACUUGUGGCAUUUUAGGCUAGUCCACAUUCCUUUGAAUAGAAUAAAAGAAAUUCAUAAACAUUUUUCUAAGGUCCAUUGUAAUGAUCACUUACUUUGUGAAAUUUACCCUUUUGCUAAACAAAAGAAGCUUAUUUUUCCUAUUCAUGUUUUCUUAGAUGAAAUAAGCUUGUUAGUGUAGAAAUCUCAAGGGGAAAUAUAUCAAGAGGGGGGUGAAUUGGUAUUUAAAAAUUCUUUUGAAAAUCCAAGUAUAAAUAUCAAAACUUUUUCAACCAAAAAUAUUUUCUAAUAUCAAAAUUGAGUUUUUAACAAUAAAUUAUUAAGCAUAAAAAUAAUAUACCAAAGAAAAUGCUUUCCUAAGUUGAAUGCUAGCUAUAAAUAACAAAGUGAAAAUAUUUUCCUAAGUGUAAAACAAUUAAUCAAUAUAAAACUAUUUUCCUAUGUCAAAUGUAAGAAAUAAAUAAUAAUACAAAAAAUUAAAGAAAGACAUAAAGAUUUUAUAGUGGUUCAGCUUUUUUUAUGCCUACAUCCAUUCCCUUGGCAACCAAGGAAUUUCCAAUCCAAUAAAAGGAUUCUUACUUUUUAACGAGAUCAAACGAUAACUCUUACAUCCACUUUUUCAAGAGAUCAAGUGAUAACCUUUACAUAAUCCAAAAAAAGAUUCUUACUUUUUAACGGGAUCAAGUAAUAAUCCUUACAAUGGCUUUUUCAUAGGAUUAAGCGAUAACCUUUACAAUAAUGGUUUUGCAAAAGCUCAACAACAAACUGACAAAUAGCUUUUCAAGGUUAAGCUAGAACCUUUACAAAAUGAGCACAAGGUAUAGCAAGAAUGCCUCUACAAAGGUUGGAUGUUAAAGAUUUUAUCUUGGGUGUAGUGAGAGAAGAAAUAUUAGCUCAAAAGAAGCAAAUAUUCAACUUUGUAAGCUUAGUGGAAGGCUCAAACGAUGCUAGAGAGUGAGGAUAAGCUUUUAGAGGUCUCUUUAGGGUUUGAAGCUUUGUUUCAUGUCUUUUCUUGCUUCCUAAUGGCUCAAAUACAACUAUUUAUAGGUAAGGUGAAGUUUAGAGUCAUUAGACACAAGUUUGACUCAAAUCUAACAAUUGCUGAAGCUUGAGGGUUGACUACAACACUCUUAGGGUUGACCAUGUUUUUCAAAUUUCUCAAAUUAGGGCUACAUAGUCAAGUAUAACCUUCCUCUAUUUGAACCAUUUCCCAAGAGCGUGUUUUUUUUUUUUUUGCAAAUUUGAGCUACUAUAGUCGACUAUGUUUAUGUAAAGUCAACUAUUUCAUGCUUUUGACUUAUCAAGGUCAAAUACUUGAGCCAAGGUCGACUAUGUUUAUUUAAAACUUCAUUUUCUUGAGCUUUCUGGAACAGGGUCAACUAUGGACACUUUAGGGUCAACUAUGGGUUUAUAUUCUUCAAGUUUUUCACUUUUUCUACCUUUGGAUUGACUUGAGCUUCUUUCUGAUCAGCUCUUGACUUGGUCUUGAGGUUUCCUUAACUUUUUGGCACUUUUCUUCAACUAUUUCUUCCUUGCAUUAUUCCUACAUUCAAAUGACAUUUCAAGGCAUGUUUGCUCUUACUUUUUAGCUAAAUAUGCUUUGUUUGAAAGCUUAUAAGAUGUUUCCAAUGAUGCAUAACUUUUCAAAAAAAUAUGUAACCUUAGAGGAUUCAAAUUGCAUUUAAGACAAUUUCAAAUGCUUGACAUUAAGUUAAAGAUAACAAGUGAUGUUUUUUAAAUCGAAACAUGAUGUAACUCUAGGCCAACAAAGCUUAAAGUAAAGAACCAAGAGAGGGGUGAAUUGGUUACCAAAUAAAGAUUCCCCUUUUUUGUUUCAAAUUUAAUGCGAAAGCUUAAGAGUAAGGCAAUAAAAAUAGAAUAUGUAAUAAACAAAUAAAGUGCAAAAAAUAAAAAGGCUCAGCCAUGAUUUUAUAGAGUUUUAGCCUUCAGUGCCUACAUCUUCUCUCUUGAUAAGACAAGGAGUUUAAAUCCAUUCUGAGCUAGCUUUCAAGGAGCUGACAUAAACUUUACACAAACACUAUUUUUUUGAGAGGUGCAAGCAUAACCUCUAAACUGCUUUUAAGAAGAGCAAGCAUAACCUCACUACUUUUUGGUUGGAGGUAAAACCAGUACUACCUUUUCAAGAAGAGGAAUAACAAUUACUACCUUUUGCUUGGAGGUAUAAUUAGAAACAACAGUCGAUUACAAGAUUUUAGCAUUCGACCUCUAAUAAGGUUGGUGACUUAUUUAAGUGCACAAAGAUGAAACAUUCUGAGUUAUAUGAACUAAUGAACGGAUAUCUCUACUUAGAAAGUUUUAGAGGUGAGGAAAAGAAUGAUCUUUCUAAAUUUUUUUCUCACUCUUUAUCUAAAGAAAGCAUCUUAGAGCUUUUCUCUAAUUUUAGCACCUUUCUCUAAAAUAGGGAUUUUUCUCUUCUUUUUUACUUUUAUUCUCUCUCUUUUUGGUGUCCUUCUUUAGGGUAUUUAUAUGCCUUGAUGGAACUUACCGUUGGGGUAAAUUUGGAUCAAAUUCUAAAUAUGUAAGCUAGCUGGAUUUUUUAAUCAUAUUUGAAGAAUUGAUUGUUUCAUUUUUAGUGUUGAUUCUUUCUUCAGUUUAGAGCUAGAAAGAAUCGGUGCUUUAUCAUUGAAGUGUUGAUUCUUCAUUUCAUCCCCAAAGGUCAUACUUUUUAUUUCAUAAAUAUUGAUUCUUCUUUCCUAAGGUGUCAAUUUUUUCUUGUAAUCUGGCACCAAUUCGAAUUUUAAAUUUAAACUUUGCUUCUCUAAUCUUAUCCAUAAGUCUUUUCUUUUUCUUAACGUCCAAGUUUCUUGAAUUUUGUCCUUAGUGCUCUAGGAAUCGAUUCUCAUUUUCUAGAAGUCGAUUAUUUGAUCUUCAAAAUCUACAUGUUGACUUCUUGGUUUUAUCCAUAUGUCCUAUCUCUUUCUUGAUCUUCUAAGUUUUUAAAUUUUGUCUUUAGUGCUUCAGGAACAUAUUUUUCUCCUCCAGAAGUUGGUUCUUUGAUCUCCAAAAUUAGCAUGUUGACUUCUUGGCUUGGAGCUGACUUUUCCUUUAAUAGAGAUUUCUUCAUCGUGCUUAAACUUCUUUGUCAACCUUCUAUAACUUUGGAAUAAUUCUUCUUGUAUAGAAUAAGAAAUUUUGCUUUCUGUUUGAUUUGAAUCAAUUCUUCAUUCUUUAAAGGUCAAUUCUUAAGGCUGGCAGCUUAAGUUUGAAAUAAAACACUUUUCUUUACAAAAUCAACUUCAAAACUCUUGAGGAUUUUCUUCAAGUAUAAAAACAUUUUCUAGCAUUUACAUAGCAUAUUUGGCUUAAUCAAAUUUGUCAUUUCAAAACCGUGGUAAAGUUAACAAUCCCCCUUUUUUGAUAUGACAAAAUUAAGAGCUAAAUUUGCUCAUUGAAGAACUGCCCUUGAAUUUGUGCUUACCUUAAAGGAUUUUCCAAAAAAAUUUUAAAAACACUUUUCAAUAAAAAUCUAGCCAUCCAUGAAGUGAAAGUGAAAGCUUGCAAAUUUUCUUCAAUAUUUCUCCUCUUUUUUGUUAUAUCAAAAAGGAAUAAAAAUAGAGUGUGAGAAUUUAAAGUGCUUAAAGACAACAAAGCAUUAUUAGCACAAAUAUAUACAUAAAAACAAAGAACUUAGAAUAUAAAACUAAUAAGCAUGGAAAAAUAUAUCUGGAUAAGUAAGACAAGUAAUUUAACAAUUGAAUAUGUAUAUAUAAGCAAUAACAUUGUUCAUAAUACAAACAAAAAAUGUUUGUUGGCAAUCACAAUGUAUGCAAAUGAAGUGCAAAUGAAGUGAUUAAAGCUUGGAGGAUUUUGUAGGAUCAACAUCAAGAUCAUGGAUGGUUACAAAAGAAGUGUUUCCUAUUUUGUCAUUAAGUUUUUCCUAGUUGUGUGCAAAAGUCCUUUAUCGAUCUACUAAUUCUUUCAUUGCCUUUUGAAGAAUUUUAAUAGUAGCUUUCAUAUUCUCAAUUGAAUGAUAAGAAUGAUCAAACAUAUUUUGUUGUUAAGAACCAAUUUUAGCAAUUGCAUUGUCAAUUUUCUCAUCAAUCUUCUUGAGAAUUUCCUCUAACAUUCUUCCUUGAUUAUCAAUUCUAAAGCUGAAGCAUUGAUAAGCCCCUUGACCCAUACACAAAGUACAAGUUGUUGAGUUGAUCUCUUAUCAGUUUGGGGAGUGGUAGUUGGAAGAGAUGAAUCAGCCGUAGUCUAUGCUAAAGGAAUUUCAGGCACUGGUUGCUCAACUUGUACCAUGUCUUGUGCUCCAUCCUUCUUUAUCCAAUCAUUUGCUUUAGCAUUGUACUCAUAACCCAUUCUUGCAAGAAUAUUCUUGUCUAGAAAUUUGGUCUUAUUCUGCAUCUUAAGUUUGUCAGUAUUGGUGUCAAUUUUCAACUUAUCAAUUAGUUGUGAAAUUGCCAUUCCCUAAACUAGGUUGUUCCUUGCCUUUCGAGCUAAAUACCUGAAAUCUCUAAAGAUGAAUUGAGCAAGAUCAAUUGGUUUUUUUUUCUUUUUAUGUGAUGCAUAAACCACAUUUCUUCAAUUGUGACCACUGCAUGUUUAGUCCCAAAUGGUCUAAUGUUGUGGUUAACAAUGAGAUGCAGUAUUCUAUCGUGAAUGUUUAGCCUUGAUGCACUGUUUGGAAAUUUAACAAUUGUAAUUGACCCAAUCAAAAACUCAGCAUUCAACUCAUAUUCUAAGAUAGCAUUUUCCUCUGCAAUAUAUGUAAUUGCAUUUCUUGGACGUUUUAGUUUCAAUGCUUUUUGAAAUAAUGAAGAAGUAAUAACAAAAUCAACUCUAGCAAGCAUAGUGAAGAAUGAAUCAUUAUGCUAAACCUCAUCUUGAUCACCUUCACCUUCAUAAAUUCAUUUAAAUUUUCAAUGAAAGAACAUACCAAUCCAUCUCUCUUAGAUUUUCAAUGUAAGAACAUUUAAAUUAGUUUUCAAACCAAUCUAAAUCAAUGAUUCUUCCAUGAAAUACCUUACUAGUAGCAUAUUCCUCAUGAAAAAUCUUUCUUUCUUCUCUUGGAGGGAAGUGAAUGAUGAGAGGAUCUUCUCUCGGACUUUUUUGUUUCUUAGCUAAAGUUGUAGGAGAUCUGCCUUUUUCUUCUCUUGAUCUCUUUGGUGCCAUUUUUCUCAGAACGCAUGUUUUGCUUUGAAUGUAAAGUGCAAAGAAUCGAGGAUGUUGAUUAUUUUGUGAACUAAACUGACUUUUUUCUCUAAGGUUCGUAUUUUCAAGUGGGUUGAUUCCAUGAUUUGAAAAAGAUAAGCUUUUUUUUUUAAAGUUUCGAUCUUUUGCCUUUCGAUGACCACCUCUUGAAGAAAGAAAAUGUUUUAGCUCAAGGUUUUUCAGAAUCGUGACUUAAAAUGUGAUUUUUGGAGUAAAAGAAUCGUGUUUUUAAAGUUUAAAGCUCAAACAUUUCAGCAUUUAAAGAGUGAAGAACUGACAUUUUGUAAAACUAGAAUAAAUUCUUUUUGCCCUAAUUCCUAAAAUUUUAUUAAUUUUUUUAAAUAUUUAGAAUUUUCGGAAUCAAUUCUUGAAAACGAAAGGUUGAUUCUUUAGUAUCAGAGGAAACAAAAUUGAGUUUUGUGCAGCAUGAGAAUCGAUUCUAUGAAACUGAAACGUUGAUUCUUGCACUUGACAAAUUUUGAAAAUUUUAUAGAAAAGUAGGUGUAAAAAGCGUUUUAAGAGAAGAAUUUAGUUCAAUCUAUGGCUUUCUUUGAGUUUGAAUGAUGCACAUAUAUGAGAUUAAAUGCAAAUGCAACAGUUUGCCAUACAAUACACCACAAUAAUCAAAAUAUCACAAUAUUAAAAAGAAAUAUUUAAAGUAUAUACAAUCAAAGAUAAAUAAUCAAACUUUCAAAAGAAUAGAAAAUCACUCAAGAGCAAGCAAUCAAUGUUCAUAUUUCAUACAUGAAUGAAUUUUAGAUUAGAAUCACUCGAUUUUGAGUUUGACCCUUAUAGGCUCGUUCCUCCUUGGCUUGGUUUUUCUAAAAGGCACAUUCUUACUUGAUUUUUGCUAUCCAAAUCUCGUUGGAUCCUUUUUUUAGAAUUUCUUAAGUUGAUUCCUUUUGGAACCUCAUUAGCCUCAAGAAUUCUACCAAAAGUAGGUUUGGUUCCUUUUUGGACCCAUGCCUUUUUGAUCACUUUUCCUUUAAAAAACACCUCUCUAAAUGGAUAAAAAUAUAUAGAGUGACCAACUUUAUGACAACAUGUGCAUAAAUGUGAUGAAUCGUGUUUUUCAUUCUCUUUUUAAGGAAAGUUUUUGUUUUUGUCUCUCUUUAUGUUUAACUAUACAUUAGGCCUUCCUUAUCAAAGAAAACCUUUUAAGCUUCAAGCAUCUCAUUCAGCUUUUGUGAACUCAUAUUCCAUUUAGAGAAUGAUUCAUCCAAAUGUUCAAUUUUCUUUUUUAAUACAUUUGCUUUAUUUUCUAAACAUUUGACUUUACCUUCUAGCUAUAUGUUGAUUUUAUCAAGAUAAUCAUGUUCAACCUUGAGUUUUGAAAUGAUCUUUUUAUCUUUCAAGGUCAUAUGCUCAAACUUAAAAGCCAAAUCAUCAUAUGCAUCUUGAAGUUCAUCAAAUGUGUAUGAAUCAUCAUUUAAAUCAUAAGAGCAUGAGACAACGCUAGAAAAAUGUACCUUAGAGUCGUCAAUUCCCAUUAAGCAUAUGUUUGCAAUUUCUUCUUUAUCCUUAUCUUGUGAUUCAUCAUUAUCACUCCACGCAGCCAUCGUGGCUUUCUUCUUGAAGUCUUAAGGAAUGCUUUUUUUUUAGAUUUGAACAUUCAUAUUUUGUAUGAUUGGGCUUCCCACACUCAUAGUAAAUUAUGAGGUCUUUCCAUGGUCAUCCUUUGGCAUGUCUUUUUUAAUGUUUCUCCUUUUUCCAUCUUUAUGAAUAGAUCUUCUAUCACCUUGUUUGUUUUUAAAAAAUCUAUUAAACUUUUAGUCAACAAGGCUUCCUCUUCAUUAUCUUCUUAUUCCUUAUCAUUAUUGUUAAAAUCAUUUUCUUUGACAGCUUUAAACGCAAUGCUUUCUUUUUGUAUCUCCUUUAAGUGCUUCAUCCUUUCUUCUACAUGUCUAAGGGUCAUCUCAUUGGUAAUAAGGGAUCUUGGGAGCUCAUCUAGUUUAAACGUGCUCAAGUCUUUAGCUUCUUCUAUGGUUGUUACCUUAGGUUUCCAUGAUCUCGAUAAACAAUGGAGGAUUUUCUUCACUAAUUGUGAACUAGGAAUUUCACUCCUUAAAGCUUUUAGUCCUCUUAUGACCUUUGUAAAUAUCUCAUACAUAUCCUUAAUGGACUCUCCAUCUUUCAUCUUAAAAAGCUCAUAAUCAAGAGUCAAGAUACUAAUUUUUGACGUUUUUACUUGACUUGUGCCUUCAUAGUAAUUUUCUAAUGUAUCCUAAAUCUCCUUUGUUGAAGUGUACAUUACCACCCUAUUAAACGCACUCUCACUAAGAGCACAUAUCGGUGUUGUCACAAUUUUUUUUGUUCAACUGUAUUAGCUUUUUAUCUUUGUCAUCCUAUUCAGCUCUUAUUUUUACAAAUCUCUCAUUAUCUAUAAACUUACUAAGAAUAUAAGGUUCUUCUUUGAUUGUAUCCCAUAAAUCUAAAUCAAUUGAUUGGAUAAAAUUUUCAAACCUCAUCUUUCAAAAAGGGUAGUUCUCGCUUAUGAACAUGGGUGGUCUCAUCAUGGACUGCCUUUCCCCGAUAAAGUUUAAAGAUGCCAUCUUUGUUACUUUAAGCUUUGCCUUAGGAUCUUUCAAAGGUUGUUAGACUUGCAAACUUGAGAACCUACUCUGAUAACAAUUGUUAGAUGAAAUAAGCAUAAAGUAAAGAAGUAAGAAGGAGGUGACUUGGUUACCAAAUAAAGAUUCCCCCAUUUUGAUUCAAAUCCAAUGCAAAAGCUUAAAAAGUAGGGUAAUAAAAAUAGAGUAUGAAAUAAGCAAAUAAAGUGUAAAAAUAAAGAGACUCAGCCACGAUUUUUUAGAGGUUUGACCUUUAGUGCCUAUGUAUUCUCACUUAAUAGCACAAGAAGUUUGUAUCUACUAUAAACUGCCUUUCAAGGAGCAAGCAUAAUUUUUACACAAACACUGUCUUUUCCAGAAGAGCAAGCAUAACCUUUACACUACCUUUUCGUGAAUAGCAAGCAUAACCUCUACACUGUCUUUUUAAGAAGAGCAAGCAUAACCUCUGCAUUGCCUUUUUCAAUAGGAACAAGCAUAACCUAUACAUUGCUUUUUCAAGAGAAAAAAGCAUAACCUCAUUACCUUUUGCUUAGAGGUAUAACCAGUACUACCUUUUCUAGUUGAGGUAUAACUUUUACUACCUUUACAAGGAGUUAUAACCUUCAGCACUACCUUCUCAUGAAGGUGUAACCUUCAGCACUACUUUUUCAAGGAGGUAUAACCAUUACAGUACCUUUUUCUUGGAGGUAUAACUAGAAACAACAGUGGAUUACAAAGAUUUUAGCUUUUGACCUCUAACAAGGCUGAUGAGCUAUUUAAGUGCAAAAAAAUGAAAACUUUCUGAGGUAUAUGAACUAAUGAAUGGAUCUCGUUGCUCAAAAAGUUUUAAAGGUGAGGAAAGGAAUGAUCUUUCCAAGUUUUUUGCUCACAUUCUAUCUAAAAAAAAGAUCUUGAAGCUUUUCUCUAAUUUCAACUCCUUUAUCUAAAAGAGGGUUUUUUCUCUUCUUUUCUGCUCAUCUUCUCUCUCUUUCUAGUGUCCUUAUUUGAGGCAUUUAUAGGCCUUGAGGAAAUUACCCAUAAGGGUAAAUUUGGAUUAAAUUUUGAACAUUAUAGGUUAGUUAGAUCUUUUCUAUCGUAUUAAAAAAAUCAAUUUUUCCAUAUCCAAUUUCAAUUGUUUCUUUAGUCUAGAGUUAGACAGAAUCGAUGCUUUAUCAUUGAAAUAUCAGUUCUUCAUUUCAUCCCCAAAAGUUGCACUUUUCUAUUCCAUAAAAAUUGAUUAUUCCUUCCCAAGGUGUCAAUUCUUUCCUAUAGUCUAGUGCCAAUUUGAAUUUCAAAUUUAAACUUUGCUACUCUAAUCUUAUUUAUAAGUCUUUUCUCUUUCUUGAUCUCCAAGUUUCUUGAAUUUUAUCCUUAGUGCUCUAGGAAUCGAUUCUUUUUUUCCAAAAUUCGUUUCUUUGAUCUUCAAAAUUAGUGUGUUGACUUUUUGGCUUUCUUUAUAUGUCUUUUCUCUUUUUGAUCUUCCAAGGUUCUGAAUUUGGUCUUUUGUGUUUUAAUAAUCGAUUCUUCUUUUCCAGAAAUUGGUUCUUUGAUCUUCAAAAUUAGCAUCUUGACUUCUUGGCUUGGAGUUGAUUUUGCCUUUAAUAGAGAUUUCUUCAUCAUGCUUGAACUUCUUUGUCAGCCUUUUGUAACUCUAGAAUUGAUUCUUCUUUUCUCAAGUGUCGAUUCUUCUUGUACAAAAUAAGAAAUUUUACUUUUCUGUUUGAUUUGAAUUGAUUCUUGGUUCUUGAAAGGUUGAUUCUUGAGGCUAGCAUUUUGAAUUUGAGUUUGGAAUAAAACACUUUUCUUUAUAAAACUAACUUCAAAAAUCUUGAGGAUCUCCUUCAAGUGUAGAAACAUUUUCCAUCAUUUACAAAAGCAUAUUUAACUCAAUCAAUUUUGUCAUUUCAAAACCAGGGUAAAGCUAACAUGUUCAAAGUUCAACUGCUAUGUUUCAAAUUCUUCAUAUAGACAUAUGGGGUCUUUAUGCUAUACCAACUUCCUCUGGUCAUCAUUAUUUCCUAACUUUGGUUGAUGAUUUUAGUCGUUUUACAUGGAUAUUAUUGAUGAGGAGCAAAUUUGAUGUUAAAUUCAUAAUCCAUUCAUUCUUCGAUUGUGUUAAAAAUUAGUUUCACACUUCUAUUAAACGGAUUCAUUUUGAUAAUGGCAAAGAGUUUGAACUUGCUAAUUUUUAUUCCUCAACAGGUAUCGUUCAUCAAUUAUCUUGUGUGGACAGACCAUAGGAAAAUGGUGUUGUUGAAAGAAACAUCAACGCCUUCUUGUAGUUGCAAGAUCUUUGUUACAUCAGUCAAAAUUACCUUUUCUUUUUUGAGGUGGUGCAUUUCUUACUGUAACUCGUAUAAUCAAUAGAGUGCCUACCCUUGUCCUUAACAGCAAUACUCCAUAUGAGCUUUUCUAUGAUAAACCUCCUGUUUAUAAUCAUUUCAAAGUCUUUGGUUGCUUAUGUUUUGUGUAUACCUUGAGUCAACAAUGAACAAAAUUUGACAAAAGAGCAAGUAAGUGUGUUUUAUUAAGUUAUCCAAACGGUGCCAAAAGCUAUAAGGUAUAUGAUAUUGAUGCACAAAAGGUCUUGGUUUCAAGAAAUGUAGUUUUUCAUGAGCAUAUAUUUCCUUUCAUAGUAUUCAACAAAAUUCACCUUCUCCUGCAUUUUCUUAAAUACUUAAUGUGCAUGAUAUUAAUUUUGAUGUUUUUCAUAGUAACCUUAACAAUUUACCUUCUUUAAUCAAUCUCUUUUUGAGUCAUCUUCAAUAGUACCUCAACCAUGUUUAGACACUUUUGUUUCAUCAAAAACCAAUGAAAAUUCACCAAAUUCAGCUUUUUAUGAUAGUAUGUACACAUUACCUACUGAUUUUGUUUUAUCGACAUCCUCUUAAAUACUUAGAUGUUCACUAGGUUGAUAUUCCUCUAAAUGUUCAUACUAUCACUUUUCAUCCCAUUGCUAAUUUCUUAUCAUGUUAACAAUUUUCUCUUACUCAUAAAGUCUUUAUUACCUCAUUGACUUAAAUUCCUGAACCUCAUACUUAAUCACCAAGCUAUUCAAUUUCUUCAAUGGAGAGAAGCCAUGCAAAGUGAAUUACAAGCUUUAGAGGAUAAUGGUACAUGGAUCAUAGUACCUUUAUCCCUUGAUUUUUAUAUUAUUAGUUGUAAAUGAGUAUAUAAGGUCAAAAUGAAUGUUGACGAUAUUGUAGAAAGGUAUAAGGCUUAUUUGGUUACUAAGGUUUACAGCUAAUGGGAGGGUUUUGACUACCAACAAACCUUCAACCUGUUACAAAACAAAACAUCGUUUGGAUUUUUCUAGCUUUGGCAGGAGCUCAUAAUUGGUUUUUAUUUCAGCUUGAUAGUAACAAUGCAUUUCUCAAUGGUGACUUAGAUGAAACUAUGUCUAUGACACUUCCACCUAGUUAUGUUGUUAAAGAGGAAUAUUCUCCUGAUUUUAAGUUGGUAUGUAGGUUGCAUAAGUCUUUAUAUGGACUCAAACAAGCUUUGCGAUAAUAGAAUUUUAAAUUCACUGCUAUCUUAUUGCAAUAUGGUUUUCAUUAAUCAUUAUUGAACUAUUCAUUGUUUACAAAGACCAUUAGUAUAAGAGAUUUUAUUGCCCUGCUGGUUUAUGUUGAUGACAGCUUAAUAUGAAGCAUUUUUGUUGAGGCUACAGAGCAUGUUAAAAAGUACUUGAGUUUACUCGUCAAGUUGAAAUACCUUGGUAUAGUAAAGUAAUUCCUCGGCCUUAAGAUUGCAAGAUUACAUGAAGGAAUUUUAGUUUGUUAGUGCAAAUAUACAUUGGAUAUUUUAGAAGAUUAUGGGUUACUAAGAGCAAAACAGUGACAACUCCCAUUGACUACAAUCACAAACUCAAGAAACUUGGUGAUGACAAAUAAAUGACAAAUCCUACUACUUAUAAAUAGUUACUGAGUAAUCUUUUAUAUCUUACUUUCACUAGGUCGGAUAUUAGUCAUGCUCUGUAAGUCUUGUCACAAUUUAUGGAUAAGCUCAUGAACACAUGUUAGUUGCACAAAGGGUAUUGAAAUAUCUAAAACAACACCUGACCAAGGAGUUUUAUAGAAAGCAAAAUCAAUUUUAUGGAUUAAAGCAUAUUCUGAGAGUGAUUGGGCAAGUUGCUUGGAAAUAAGAAAAUUCGUUACUAGAUAUAUUAUGUUUCUUGGAGAUUCAUUAAUUAUUUGGAAAUACAAGAAACAAACAGUGGUUGCUCAGAGCUGUGUUGAAGCACAGUAUCAAGCCAUGGCCUCUACUUAUUUUGAAGUUAUCUGGUUGUAGUAUUUGUUAACUUUAAAAUUAUUAAAGUUUUGAUUAUGACAAAAUGAUCAAAUUUGCUUAAGCAUUAUUUGAGUGAUCCUUGACAAGUUUUUGAAAUGAUUUAACUCCCAUACAUUUGGUCUUACAUAGUUACAACCUUAACUCUUGAAGUUAUUGAACUAUAUCUAUAAGCUUGUAUGACUUAGGUGUAUAAGUGUUUAUGAUUCUCAUUCAUUAAAGUCGAAUUUAAAGAUUAAAAGAAAAUCUAAAUGCACUCAUUAAAGGGGAGUUUUUAAUAACUUUUUUAAUGAUGACAAAAAAGGAAAUAAGGAAGACUAAGUUAAAUAAAGUUUGAUAGGUCUUGAUGUUUAAUUUAUGUGUGUAAUGCUAAAUUAUGGUUUUGUUGAAUGCUAGUUAUUAUGGAUAUUCAAUAUAUCUUGCUUAGUUAUUGUGGAUAUUGUAUAUCUUGUUUAGCUACUGUGGAUGUUAUAAAUAUUUUAUUGUAAAUCUUUAAAGAAAACUAGUUGCAUUAACUAAGGGGAAGCAACUCAUUAUGCAUAAAGAUUUGAAGCAUUCAUAUUGAACAUAGACAUUGCACUCUUAAUAUAGGAGUGUUUUGUCAUAAUUAAAAAUAAAAGAGAGAGAAUGUUGACUCCAUGUGUUUUUGAUGAUAACAAAAUAUUCCCAUUCAUUGGUCUUUAAUUAUAUUAUUUAAGUGUGCAGGAGAAAGCUUAAAGUCAUUAAUAUAUUUGGCAUUUGAAAGCCAGUCAAGAUGCUUGUUCAAUUGCAAGAUGGGUUAAUUGGUUAAACAAGGAAAGAAGAAAGAGCUUUAAUGAAGACAGAUUAGUCUUAACCGAUUGACACAAAUCCUUAAUCAAUUAAAGCAAUUUUUGGUGCUACAUUAAGGAUAGAAAGAAAGGUUUUAACUAGUUAACCCAAGGUUUAAUCAGCUAAGUAGGUGUUGGAUGCAAAACAGAAGCCUUUUAAUCAGUUAAAGGAAAGGAGUUAACUAGUUAAAGGUUAAAGUUAAAGUGUCAAGAAGCACCAAAAUUCAAAUUCAAAAUAUUGAUGACCACUUAAGGCACCAAACCAAGAGAUUUAAAGUUGAAGACUUCUUAAUUGGUUGAAGCCCAUUUUUAUCAGUUAAGGAUGAAUGGAGAGAAGCUUCAAUUAGUUAAAGAGAGCGUUAAUCAGUUGAAAGGAGGAUAGCCAAAAAUAAUGCUUGAAGGUGCUUGAAAAUAAAAAGUUAUUAAUCAAUUAAAGCUGUCCUUAAUUGGUUAACACAGAGAAGCAUGUGCAAGUCAAAGAAGACUUAAUUGGUUAAAGCCUGCCUUUAACUGAUUAAUGAAGCACUAUCUACACAUUUGAAUUUAAGCACAAAAGGACAACAUGAUUGCAAGAAAUGGCUAGUUUUUGUCUUUAAUGGCUAGAAGUGAUUUUUCAAGUAUUUAAAGCCUCUCCAAUAGUAAAAAAUGAUAGAGAGAAGCCAUCUAAAGUGAGUUUGAGCUUAGAAGACCAAAAACCUUCUAUUUACAUUGUAUUCCACUCCCAUCUUUUGAAAAAGUGUUUGAGUUUAACUUUGUACAUCUCAGAUCAGCUAGGUGAUCAAUUGUGCUUCAUCUUGUUUUCAUUUCUAGAUUACAUAGAGUGUGUGAGGCACUCUAAGGGGUUGUUAUAGGUUUUAAAUUAACCUAAGAAAAGUUAGUUUUGGGUUUUGGUUGAUCCCCGAAAAAACCAUUGUUAAAGGUUGUGGCUGAGCUUAUGAAAAGCCAUUGUAAAAGCUCGGUGGAAGCUUAGAAAUUCCACUGAUUUUAGUGAAUUGGUUUGAAAAUCCUUGAUUAGGAGAUCAAGGUAGUGGAUGUAGGUUAAGAGGACCAAACCACUACAAAUCGUUGUGUUUUGUCUAUUUUUUUUUAUUUUCUUCUCACUCUUAACACUUAAAUCAUUCUUCCAACAAGCUUUAAACUUUUAUUUUCAAAUUCCCUUAAUCAGCUCUUUACUUGGAAAGAAUUUUCUUAUCAUUCCAAAAGUGCUAUUAAACCCCUUUAGCACGCUCUUUGGGACCAACAGCAUUUGGUUGUAGAUUUUGGGAACCAAAUGUGAUUCACUAUGAUGCUUUAUUGUGAUAAUCAAUAAGCUAUUUAUAUAUGUAAAAAUCCAAUCUUCCAUUAUUGUAUCUGUCACGACCCAAUUUCCCGGGCCAUGACUGAAGCAUGAGCUCAAUGAGCAUAACUCACUAAACCCAAGCAAGCCUAUCCAUUUACCUUUGCUUAACAAAUUUAUCAUAUCAUGCAUACACACACACCUUUUCCCGGGUGUGAACAUAGCCAAAACACAAUGGCAUUAUUGAUAAUAAUAUACAUGCACUAUAUUAGUCAUGUAUUUAGCAAUUUACAUUGCAUACACAUAUUCACAUUGUUAGAUUGUAUUCACAAUACAAAAGGACCCAUGACUUGCAGCGGAGACAUUUACAAUAAAAGGGAUUACUAUCGAAUGCCAAACACAUACCCAAGAGAUGCAGUACGGGGACUCCUCGAUCUGGGGUCCAAUAGUCACUUGAUCUGAAAACAUGAAUUUUUAUAAAACGUGAGUACAAUACUCAGUGAGUGAAUAUUAGAAGGGAACAAGCAUUCUCAACUAGGAAAUUUGACAAUCAUGAUGCACCGGUUGAAAAUAAGGCCAUUUUCAUCUAACUACUAUUCCAAACCCUUUUUCCCUUAAAACAAGCCAUCCUGCUAAAAUGACAAUAGCAACAUGUAACACAUGUAAACUUCCAAAUUUCAACAAAACAAACGCUUACAUAUUUGCAUUUACAACCAUAUACCCAUCAUCAACAUGCACACCAUCCCAUCAUCAUCAUCUCAUAUGCAACUGCUUAUGCGCAUAUAGCCGGGUCAGCAAUGGCUUAUGUGCACUCCCACUCACACGUAGUCGGGUCAACAACGGCUUAUGUGCACUCCUACUCGCACAUAGCCGGGUCAGCAGCGGCUUAUGUGCACUCUUACUCGCACAUAGCCGGGUCCAAAUCAACAUGCAAAGAAGCAUCCAAUGCAUAUCAUGCAUUUUAUCAUAUUGUGAUAACACAUAAACCAUUGUAUACCACAUUUUCACAAUAUAAAAUCAUUAUACUAAAAGCUUGUUCCCAAGGUACAUUUUCUAAGACAAGUUGGAUAGAAUCUUUCAUAUUCCCUAAAACAAGUUUGGAAUGCAAGUCCACUCACCGGUAUCGAAAAUCCAGAUUCCGGGUGCACUCGGACUAAUAGCCCUCAAGCGCAAUUCCUUUGUCUUUUCCGAAUGUCUCACUACCUUGACAAAUAACAAAGUCGAGGAAUUUACUAUAUUGUCCCUAAAUUGAUAUAAACUAAUUUAAAUUACUAAUGCUUGAUACGUCAAUGCAAAAAUACGUCUGAUUACCACUUAAUCGCGGUAUCGAUUAAAUUCGAUCGAUCACCCGAUUAAUUGGCGAUUAUGUCCAAAUCACCUCCAAAUUAAUCUAUUUCUCCUCUAAUACCUUAGUUUACCACAUACCAUUUAAAUAAAGCCAAAUUCAGCAUUAGAACCCUCACAGUUCCUUAUAGAAAAAUUCGGUCAUUUGGUGCACUAGCACCGAAAUUUUUCUACAUAACUGUUUCACCUUAAUUCAUCAUAUUUCCAAGCCAUUUUCCUUGAAAUAAAAACAAUCCCCCAUUGAUAUUCAGCCCUCAUGGUUCGACCAACAAGGAACCCUAGAGAAAUUGAAUAUUUCUUUUGUGUUUUUGUUCAUAACCAUGCUUAACUAUCCCUAAACACUAACAUAGUCUAAAAUCAAAUUAUUCCAACAACAAUUCCUCUUCCAUACCCAUUUUUCAGAAUUGAAUUCAUCAUGAUAACUCAAUAUUCAACCAUGGAAAUCAAGAACAAAAGCAUGGGUAAGCUAGGUAUCAAGGAGAAUUAAAGAAAUUUUAACUUACCUAGCUUGUUUCCUUGAUUUCUUCACAUUUUCUUUGAAUUUCCACCUAGGUUUUCUUGUUUUUCCCUUUUUUCUUCCUUUUUUCUUGUUGCUGGUUGCCUAGGCCAAAUAUGGUGAGAGAGUUGGGGAUUUAAUGGGCUGAUUUCUAUAGAAAAUAAUCAAGCAUGCCACGUGUCACAUGCUUAUUGGCCCAAUUUUUAACUUUUUUACUUUUUCUUCUUAAUUUUCCACCAUAAAUAUUCUGGUCUUUAUCCAAUCCUACCACAUUUAAAAUCCCUUGAUCUUGACAAGUGCUGGGGUGAAAAAUUUACUAAUUUGCCCCUGAGAUGAAAAAAUUACGAUUUUACCCCUAUACUCUGAAAUGUACCAAAAUCACAUUAUUUCUACUUUUCAACCUCAAAUAACACUAAUAUUGAUCAAUAUUAACCAAAUGGGGCAAAAAAAUUGUUUCAUAAAGAUUCUCGUUUAGUCCUCUAGUGGCAAAAUUAUCAUUUUGCCCUUGUGCUCCAAAAAUACUGAGAAUCAUAAUUUUUCACUGCUAAACAUCAUUUUAUACUCCAAUAAUCAUAAUUAUGUUUCAUAUAAUUACUCUUGGUUAAAUGUGAUCAAAUCUUGGCUAGAAAUCUCCAUUUAAUCAUCAAAUGGUAAAAUGACCGUUUUGUCCCUAAUCGGUCAAUUUUCCUGAUGGACUCUAAACUGGACCUUGAACUCCGAAUCACUAUUCUAAGCCAUUAUGUGGGUUUCAAUAUUUUUAAAUUUCUCUUAGAAUUUCUAUUUAAACUAGUUCAAGGCUCGAUUAACUUAGUUGUACCACUCGGUACAAUACCGUCUUUUAAUCGAGCUUGACAAGGUCUCACAAUAUCAUGGACAUUGAGCACUUUAUUCAUGAGAAGGUUCUUGCUAGUUUGAUUUAACCAUUGCAUAUUCCUACCAAGUUCUAGUUAGCUUAUCUAUUUACAAAAUGGCUACAACAGAAGCAAUUUCAUUACUUACUAAGCAAAACAAGAGUUCAUAACAUUCACAUUUCACCUUGAGGAGGAGUAUUAGAUAAUAGUUAAUUUAAGUUUUACUUACUAUUAUAGCUUUACUUGUAACAUGAGUUAAGUAUCUAACAUGUACAGUUAGUUCGCAUUUAUUGCCUUCAUAAGCUCUUUACUUCUUUAGUUAUAUUAACUAUAAAUAGGAUACUGUACUUCAUUUUUCUAGAUUGACAAAAAUACAAGUUCCAAUGUAUUUUUCCCUUUCCAUUUGUUUCUUGAAUCUUCUUCAACUUUUAUUAAGCAUUAAAAGAUGGCAACAUAUCACACCACUGCAUAUUAGAGUUGCCAAAUAUUCUUUUAAGUGUGAAGCCUUUGUGUUUUCACUUAGUUGGUUUGAAUAAGUAAAAGCCAAAGGUUAAAAAAUCCCAUGUGAUGUAUAUUUUGUAUAUUCUUGUACUAGAAUAUAGUUGAAUUCAAUAUGAUAACAUGGUAUUAAAGCAAUGAAAUACUCUUAAAUACUUUUGUGAUUCUUUCUCACCUAUCAUGAUAUCAGUUGCCAUUGAUCUUAGUUUUGCACAAAGUAUAGAUAACACAAUAGAGUAUGAUUUGCCAUAUCCUUAUUUCUAGCAACAUUUAAACAAUCUCAAUACAAUGUUUGUUUCAUGAUUUAUUAACAAAUGGGAUUAUCUGACCUAGAGUAAUGUUGUUUGCAUGGCUCUUGAAGCCAAAAAAAAAAAAAACUAAUUUGGCUUCAUAGAUUGAAGCGUUUUACCACCUUUCAAGAAUUCUCUAGAUCAUCCUAGGUGGACCCAUUUCAAUAGCAUAAUGCUUUCUUGGAUCAUGAAUGUGAUCUCAAUUGCAUUGCAAAUUUAUAAAGUCGAUGUCAUGACCCCAUCUCAGGCCAUGAUCGACACAAGGACCAAGAGGAUAAAAUCCCUUAGUCUAAGCAAGUUUUAUUCGUCUAGCACACCUAUACAUAAUGCCAUCACAUUAUACUCGAAAGUCUGCAAACGUCAACAACACAAUGCAUAUGUGUACAUUUAUUCAACAACAAACACCAAGCUCAUGUCAACUCUUACAUAUAUAAAGUCCUAACACUAUCCAUUUCACAUAACUUGUGUACUCACAUGGGCCCUUGAGCCAUUUCACUAAACCAUAUGCUACACAUAUGCUCAAAUGUGCCCUCGAGCCACUUCACUAAACCAUAUGCUAUCAUUGAAGCAUGUAGCCAUUCCUAGCUACAAAAUAGGAGUGUAAAUCAUCACCCACAAUUAAAUGACCAAAACAGACUUGUCAACAAACUGCAAUGUGACAUUGGUAAACUCCAUAGUCGACCGCUAGGGGUACUUAUCAACGAGACUCAAGCAUCCCUCAUGAGAUGGAGAUUGAAGCUAUGUCACGUAUUUGAAAACCAAAAACAUAAGGCUUGAAAACUAUUAUGGACUCGAGUAUUUCGUGAACUCUCAGGUCAAAAUUUUUAAGUUUUUGUGAACCCGAGUAUUUCUAAACUAUUAUGGACCUUGUCUCAAUGUCAAAAAAGUAAAAAGAUUGCACAAAGGAUUAGAGGAGAACAAGCUAACUUGCUAAGGGGGUUUUCAUAAUUUAAGUGGAGUUGGAUAAGCUUGAGCUAUAAAUAUCAUUCUUUCCGAUAGCUUCUUCAAUUCUAGCAACUUCUUCUUCUUCUUCUUUCCAUCUCACAUUUAUUUCCCCUUCAUGGAAGCUUGUUAUGAAACCUCCAUAACCUCUUUCAAAAUAGCUCCAAUUUUCAAGCUUUUGUGCUCUUUCACUCUUUCACUUUAAAACCCUUGAAAAAUCUUACUUUCAUACUUUCUCUCACUAGCUAGGUGUUUAAAGAGAGAAAGAGGGAGCUUCUAUAAUAGCUUGGAAGAAUUUUGAAAAGGAAUUUCAUUAUAAUCCACCAAGGUGAGUGAUGAAUUAAGAGUGGUUUUAAGUUGUUGAUAAUGACUAGUAAUUGAAGUUAUGAGUUGUGUUAUUGCUGAAGUUGUUUAUCUAUUUCUAGUGCUACUAAAGAAGAGAAACUAAAUAGCCAAUCAAAUGGUAAUUAGAAGGGAGAUAGGAAAGGCUAUUGAAGCUUGAUUUGGGAAAUAGUUCUUGGAGCAAUAUUAAUGUAAAUUGGAUUGGUUGUGAUGUUUUUGGUAUGUGAUAGGUUCCAAUGAGGCCCUUUAGCCCCAAUUGGACCAUUAGGGAAGUUAGAGUCGACUAAAGGUUGAACAAAUACUGGUGAGUGAACUUGCAUUUCAAAAAUUCUUUGGAAAUGUAGAUAUAUUUGGGGUGAAACAUUUGAAUGAUUUUAUCCAACUUUUCCUUAAAAAUCUACCUAGGGAACAAGCCUUUGGUGAAUGUUUUUAUCUUGUGAAAAUGUGCCAUAUAAAUGGUUCAUGUGUUAUCACAAUAUGUUGAUAUGUAUAAUAUGCAUUGGAUGUUCCUUUUUAUAUGAUAAUGAUGACCCAACUAUGUACGUGUGGGAGUGCACAUGAGCUGAUGAUGACCCAGCUAUGUGCGGUGUGGGAGUGCACAUGAGCUGAUGACGAUGGGAUGGUAUGCAUGAUGAUAUAUAUAUGUGUGUGUGUGUAUAUGUGUGUGUUAUAGAAAGUUCAUGAGUAUGGUAUAUGGUUAUAAUACAUGUGAAUCUUGCAUGUUUAACCUUGGAAAUUUCUAAGCAUGUUCAAGUUGAUUCUGUCUUUGCAGCUAAAUGGCCUUUUCUUGAAAGAAUGAAAAAUUAUUGUUGGUGUCCUGUUUCUUGCUACAGCAAAAAACUCUCUGGUUUGGAGGGUUACAUCAGCCUAAUUCUCGCUGUAGUGAGCAAUUUUCUGUUUUGCUGCUUGAAUUUCGCUGCAGCAAGAAUGGAUUCUCACUGAAGUGAGAAACUUUCUAUUUUGCCUGUUGAAUCUCGCUGUAACGAGAAACUUUCUAUUUUGCCUCUUGAAUCUCACUGCAGCGAGAAACUUUCUGUCUUGCAUGCUACCUUGUUUGGUUGCUACCCCAUUUUCCAUUUCAGUAAUACCAUAGUUGAUCAUGGACUCCCAACAUUAAGGAAUUUAUUUAAUUAAGUUUGAAAUGAGGGGUUUUAGAGAGAAACCCUCGGCCAGUUGAGAAACCUUCGUCCAGCUGAUAAUUUGAGCCCAAAUUUCGCUACAGCUUCAUUUGACCUGCUUGAGUGUUAUUAAAGCUUUCAUUAUUCAAAUUCUUUGUUAUGUAUGAAUCCUUCAUCAUCAAGUGAUUAACCAAUUAAGGGUUUAAUGAGGGGUUUUUAAUAAGAACUAAACUAAACUGCAUUGUUUUUGAAAAUAAAUGCAUCAUGUUUUCUUUAAACUUUCCUUAUCGAUUGCUUGUUCCCUUCCUUUGUUCAUUCACUGGGUUUAUACUCACCGUUUUCAACUUCAUGUUUUCAGAUAAGGAGGCAGCCGAUAACUAGGUCGAGGUGUCCUUG
rnacentral:lncRNA from 1 species